rnacentral:lncRNA from 1 species
UCUUCAUUUUGUUCUUCUUCUAUUGUUGUCAUGCUGCUAAAUUCGUCUUUUAUAACUAUUUCAUAUUUUUUUUAAUAAUUCUAUAGGUGUUAAUUUAGUUGUAGUUAUUGAUGAUGUUUUUUCUGUAGGUUUGUCAGUUCUUAAUACUCUUUUACUAUUUUCAGUUAGAUUUGAAAAUCAUAAUUUCACUGUUCCUAUUAGUGUUCUUUCUAUAUAUUCUGGUGCAUCUGUUACAUUUAUAUUAUUAUC